UGUGUUGCGACAAAAAACCAAAAUUAUUGCAACUAGUUUUACAAAAACAACAGUCAUCUCUCGGAUCAAAAUGAUUAUGAUGAUUAUAACGAGAAUGACGAUAAUAAAUCGUCAUUUCUUUUCUUUCUCGUUUUUUUUUUCUUUUUUUUUUCUCUAGGUUCUAAACGAUGGAGAAAAAUUUCGGAAAAAAAAUAUUCUCGUGCAGCAGUUCUACGCGAGGUAGUAAAUUAUUUGGUUGCCAGUUAAAAUGAGGAGCGAUGAGAAAGACGAGUACGUGUACGGAAGGUCGGUAGUUACGUGGAUAACUUUGUACAAGAAGUUAAUUAAUGGCUCAAUUAAACAUUCUCACAGUCGCCGAGAGUAAAAUCGAUUAUUUUCGCAGUCGUCUAACCCGCGGGACGUUGUAAAGUUUAAAGUACGGUACAUGCCGCGGUGCGGGUGCGACGAACUUCUACAUAUAUAUAUAUACCUGCACGUCUUACGGAGCUGUAAAACGAUCACGGUCGUUACUUCGUCAAUCAAAAUGUCCGCGCUGUGGAAGUUGAAGGUUUUUCUAUUACGUCUACAUAAAUAUUCGAAUAUAUCUGCGGUCGUGGCUUGUUCAACAAAUGCGUCGAGAUCUACCUGCGGAUUAUCCCCUCCCCGAGGUAGCGCCCUACCGCAGCUGGUCACAGUCGUCACAGUACGAAUAGCGUCCGGAGAAUUCAUUCGAUUCAAUUGUGAUGGGACAUUUCGGCGGAGCGAAUUAUACGACAAGAUUUGAAAGUUGAAACAGGGUGCAGCUUACUCGGUAAAUAUUUUUAGAGAGCUAUGAAUACGUUUGAUAAAUAGCUUAUUACCACUGUACCUGCUUCUUGAAAUACAAAUAAUAAGCCCAGGUAAUCUUGAUGGAUAUCAAUUCCGCGCACCGCGAUCGCGUGCCAACGAUUCCAGAGGCACUUGACUCACCUUGUUCCUGCUCAAUAACUGCAGUAAAAGCUAAGUCAUUGAAAAAUAUCCCAAGGGUCGAUUUUAAUUUUCGAACUGAUCAUUUUCUCGCUUAUCCGGGUUCCGACUCCUGCUCCCAAAACAUACAAUACGACACCAAACUACGAAGAAGUAUGAAAAGGCGAACGCUCAUUCUCCACUUCCAAGGAAGAAUAAAAAAAAAGAAUAUAACUUCAAGAAGAGAUGUACGCAAAACUCGUGAUAUGCGACACCAACACAAAGGAUCUGCAUCCUUUUUGUCUUGCAGAAGAGUAUGAGGUAAGAUAAGGAAAUGGUACAGGCUACGGAAGUUUCAGGCAGAUAUUUGAAUUUUUGGAUUAUAUUUAACAAUAUGGUUGUACGGAAUUUCAAGGAGGGAGAGGGAGAGGGGGACAUAAAUUGUGUCGACAGUUUUGAAAUCCUAUCUCUUUGAAGAAGAUGAGCGUUGGAGGAUUCUCCAUUAGUAGGAUUUAAGUUAAUGGUGAUGAAAACUUAAAUGUGAAUAAUGUCAAUGAAAUUUUGUAUAUAGGUAUAUCCGUUGAUGAACCGACGGAUAAUGCUUUUAAGAGCUUUUGAACCAGUCAAGAAUAUUCAUCGUCUCGAACUAUCGGAGCUAUUCUUCCAGCAUUGAAGCAAUUAUUAUUUAAAACGUUCAACUCGAUUGUCGAAGGCUCACAAAUUUGUACCUUGCGUCCGGAUCCGGAUAGGAGAUCGAGUAAUUGUUUUUGCUGGAGAUGGAAAUAAAGCUGAAGCCAAACCGUGAAAGAUCGAAUACAACUUUAAGAAAUUCCUGAAUAAAAUUUCCGUUGAAUCAACAAUGUAAUUCAAUGAAUGGUACAACAAUUUCUAUGAUAAGAGUUUGUGUAUGUUUGAAAUAUCCUUGGGGGGGUACGUAAAACGAGUUUCUACAAAAGUCUGGUGCAUAAUAACGAAACGUUAUAACUUCCGAACUUUGAAUCAAUCAAGGAACAACAAUACUUGCUGUUUACUCUUCAAUUACAAAAUAUUAAUCAUAAUUUUCACGAUCCGAAGAUAGAAAGCGAGUAACCGCAAAUAUCAUUGAAAUUUAAAAAAUCGAAUCCCAGCACUGCGGUUAUCGGCUGAAAGUUUCCAGUCCCAAACAACGUCAAUGUUUUCAUUUUUCCUUCUUCUUCUCUCAUUUCCGACCUUCGACUAACGAGAUCUAGUUUGAGUUAUCAAUUAGUACCUACCGACGUUACAUCCAUAGGAAUUCCAUUUAUAAUAAUUCAUACGCGUAACCGUUGAGGCACACAAUUACGUAAUUGCGGAAGGAAUCGUGUCUAAGUGUGCGAGACAGAAGUGUGUACAUACCUACGUACGCAUGAAGAAUUACGCAUCAUUCGCGGAGGAAUUAUCAUAGUACAAAUACGUGUAGAAACGUGUUCAUUUCGAGAUGCGUCACAUACCUAUGGUACUUACGCAUCGUAGUACGAUCGCUUAAAAACUUUCAGAAGUUUACCUUGCGUGCUUAUUCAAUACUAUUUUGGCCUUCGGCUUUCGGUUGAUGAUAUUUUAGGAGCCGAUCGAUCACUUAAAUAUUUCAGUCGAUCGGACCCAUGGGUUGCCAGAAAAUGUCAACGAUCGAAGUACGUGCACCUACAAUUUACUUACUUUCGACUUGAAUUCUAAACGUUUAACCACCGACGGAUGCGAAGGCGGUAAAACUUCUUCAAUUGAUAUCGAAUCUCAUUUCGA